AACGAACGCUGGCGGCAUGCCUAACACAUGCAAGUCGAACGAGACCUUCGGGUCUAGUUGCGCACGGGUGCGUAACGCGUGGGAACCUGCCCUUAGGUUCGGAAUAACUCCCCGAAAGGGGUGCUAAUACCGGAUAAUGUCUUCGGACCAAAGAUUUAUCGCCUUUGGAUGGGCCCGCGUUGGAUUAGCUAGUUGGUAGGGUAAAAGCCUACCAAGGCGACGAUCCAUAGCUGGUCUGUGAGGAUGAUCAGCCACACUGGGACUGAGACACGGCCCAGACUCGUACGGGAGGCAGCAGUGGGGAAUAUUGGACAAUGGGCGAAAGCCUGAUCCAGCAAUGCCGCGUGAGUGAUGAAGGCCUUAGGGUUGUAAAGCUCUUUUACCCGGGAUGAUAAUGACAGUACCGGGAGAAUAAGCUCCGGCUAACUACGUG
rnacentral:rRNA from 1 species